GAAGAAAACAAUACAAGGGAAGAAACUCGGACAGUCUAACAGGCAUGAAGAGGCAUUGGCUGCAGGCAAGUUUGAUGACGUGUGCUCUUCAGGUGAGUUUGAUGAGGUGUGGGCUGCAGAUGAGUUUGAUGAGGUGUGGUCUUUAGGUGAGUUUGAUGAGGCAUGGUCUCCAGGUGAGUUUGAUUAGGCGUGGUCUUCAGGUGAGUUUGAUUAGGCGUGGUCUUCAGGUGAGUUUGAGGAGGCGUGGUCUCCAGGUGAGUUUGAUGAGGUGUGGGCUGCAGAUGAGUUUGAUGAGGUGUGGUCUUUAGGUGAGUUUGAUUAGGCGUGGUCUUCAGGUGAGUUUGAUUAGGCAUGGUCUCCAGGUGAGUUUGAUGAGGCGUGGUCUCCAGGUGAGUUUGAUGAGGCGUGGUCUCCAGGUGAGUUUGAGGAGGCGUGGUCUCCAGGUGAGUUUGAUGAGGCGUGGGCUGCAGAUGAGUUUGAUUAGAUGUGGUCUCCUAUCUUUGGAAUAUUUGGAAUAUUCCACAAGUCGCAUGUUCAACACUUUGUUCCAUCACCUGAAUAUCCUGCAGAUCUAACAAAAGUAAGUUCUCUCACUCUUUCUUUCUUUACUUUUUAGCU
ensembl:lncRNA